rnacentral:rRNA from 1 species
CCCUUAGAUGUUCUGGGCUGCACGCGCGCUACACUGAUACCUUCAGCGAGUCCACCACCUUGCCUGGGAGGGUGGGGUAACCUCUGGAAAGUGCAUCGUGAUGGGGAUCGAUUAUUGUAAUUAUUAAUCUUCAACGAGGAAUUCCUAGUAAGCAUGUGUCAUCAGCCCGUGCUGAUUACGUCCCUGCCCUUUGUACACACCGCCCGUCGCUCCUACCGAUUGGGUGUGCUGGUGAAAUGUUCGGAUCGGCCGUUUGUCGCGGUUUCCGCGUCAUGUGGCUGAGAAGUUCAUUAAACCCUCCCACCUAGAGGAAGGAGAAGUCGUAACA